rnacentral:rRNA from 1 species
AGGACGAACGCUGGCGGCGUGCUUAACACAUGCAAGUCGAGCGGAAAGGCCCUUCGGGUACUCGAGCGGCGAACGGGUGAGUAACACGUGAGUAACCUGCCCCUAGCUCUGGGAUAGCUCCGGGAAACCGGGAUUAAAUACCAGAUACGACCACUUUAGACAUCUGUCGUGGUGGAAAGGAUUCCGGCUAGGGAUGGGCUCGCGGCCUAUCAGCUUGUUGGUGGGGUAACGCCUACCAAGGCGACGACGGGUA